CGUGAACUCACAUCAUCACAAGAAUAAGGAAAGGCAACUGAGAUAAGACAUCAAGAUGGACUUCUUGUUCUGAAAGGACUUGAACUCCUGAGUAGGCCUCAGUUAUAGAACCAGUAUGAUAUCAAAACAGAAUUCAGUGACACUUGUGAUAAAGACCAGAGUGACCUGUGGUCCCAGAAGCGGAUGAUCCUCCUCCCAAUGAGUUGUCAGCUAUCAUUGUCAGUGCAGUCUUCUGAAGCAGGAACAGCCAGGAAGUGGGUUCUAGGUUUGGUUCUGCCAGCUCACCACCUCAACAGCACCUGCUGAAUCUCCCUUCUCAUUUGUAUUACACUCACUUGCCCGACCUUCUUUCUAGAGUGUUGUGAAUACUGCACCUCUUAUAAUAAAGCCUCAAUGUCGUAUGAUUUGCAUAUAUUCCUACAGAGAUGAAAAACUACAAAAGCAUUUGCACUGUAUCAUCCCCACCCCAGUCUAUGUAUUCCCUGAAAGUAAAGAAGAAAAUGGUCAAAGAAAACAAUGUAAAAAUGCUUUAAGCUGCAUAAGGAAUAUUCAAGAUGAAAGGUCAUGGGAUGACACAGUGAUCAAGCCUGGAAGAGAGGCUUCACCAGAAACCAAUGCUUGAGAGCGCCCUGGUCUUAUUUAUACUUGUAGCUUCCAGAACCACGAGAAAAUAAAUUUCUGUUG